rnacentral:rRNA from 1 species
GACGAACGCUGGCGGCGUGCUUAACACAUGCAAGUCGAACGGAAAGGCCCUGCUUUUGUGGGGUGCUCGAGUGGCGAACGGGUGAGUAACACGUGAGUAACCUGCCCUUGACUUUGGGAUAACUUCAGGAAACUGGGGCUAAUACCGGAUAGGAGCUCCUGCUGCAUGGUGGGGGUUGGAAAGUUUCGGCGGUUGGGGAUGGACGCGCGGCUUAUCAGCUUGUUGGUGGGGGAGUUGCUUACCAAGGGUUUGACGGGUAGCCGGCCUGAGAGGGUGACCGGCCACAUUGGUACUGAGGUACGGCCGAGACUGCUACGGGAGGCAACAGUGGGAAAUAUUGCACAAUGGGCGGAAGUCAGAUGCGACGGCGCCGCGUGCGGGAUGACGGCCUACGGGUUGUGAACCGCUUUCGCCUGUAACGAAGCGUGAGUGACGGUAAUGGGUAAAGAAGCACCGGCUAACUACGUG